AACUUUUCUGGCAAGAAAAGCCAAGUUUGGCUGCUUUGUGUCUCAAACAUGUGAGAUGGCUACAACAGGAAGAGGUACACAAGAUGGUGCACAAGAAAUUGAAACUAUUCUCUGCUGGAUGGGCCUUGCUGCUGUAUGAAGGAAUGCAAAACAGAGACUUCCAUGAUGAGUUUCAUGCAUCUCACAAAUAAAACACAGUUUGCUGUAAGGAGGGCUUACUCUUGGCUUGGCCUCAGGUACUGUAGAACCACGUUUUCCUUGCUUGUAAAUUGGAUCCCCUACUAUGUCCUACUCA
rnacentral:lncRNA from 1 species